CUUCUCUCAUCUUGCAUACAAUUCACCUGCUCUUGUUAUUUCCAAGUAUCUUCAGUCUACUUUUUUUUAUUUCUGGGAGAUAAAGAAGUUCCUGAAUGCCCUGAACUUGCUUGACAUCCCUGAGUACCCAUCUGCUUCUAAGAUCUCUCUAACGUCUACUGGAAGCUGUGCACACUAGCUAUAACAAUUGUUAACAGCUAAUAAACCCGGGGAUGUUACUAAAAGAUAUUAGGAGUUUUCUCCCCGUACAGACUGGAACUGCUGCUGCAGCAGCUGUGGGUGAGCAACAAUCAGCUGCCAUCACUGCUAACGGUCAUGAUUCAUCGUCGUGAGCGGAAGUACUGCAUGGAGAUAGAUAUUAGUUAGAGCAAUCGCGGCCUCAAGGAGAACUGAAGAUCUAUUCUAUGCAUGCCUAGAUGCCUGUACUAUUGUUAGUUGGUAGAGAAUUUGAUACAAGAUAUAGAUACUUUCUUCUUUCUCCUGGUGAGAUGACAGGCUAAGGUGAUGCUAAUUAUGCUAUAUUGAUUACAUCCGUGGUGUGUGGUUUUCUUGGUUGUAUCAAUCUUUGUUCACAAGAUUUGGUAGCUCGAUGUGUGCGCAGGAGUAGCCUAACUACUUGAUCAGACUUGGUAAUAUCGUAAUCUCUAGUUGAGAGAGUAUUUUCUUUUCUGGGUUAUUAGUGCAUAUGCUGAUUAUGUAAAUAAUAAUUGCUUAAAUGUUUCUUGUAACUCUGCUCUUUGUUUGCA